GCAUUCAAUAAAGCAUUGUUCACUGCAGGCAUGGCAGGCUACUCGAAAUCACUCUGAUGUGGCUGCAGUCAGAUGCCAUUUUCCACCACUCCCCAUUUUUAUACCAUGUGGUCAUGAAUGAUCAAUUUCCUCUCCCAUCUUUGGCCAAUGUGAUUAAUUGUUAAUCAAAUAUGUUAACCAGAAAUGAGUUGAUAUUGAGAUAAUGGCAGCAUUGGACCUUUAAGACACUCCAGUCUAGAGGAAUAGUCCAAGUAUAACCACAAAAUGUGGUUGCAGCAAACUUCCACAAGUUUGCGGCAAAUUUGCUGCUAACUAAAUGGUGUGCCACAAAAUGUUGCCAGAAGUUUGCCACUAGUGGGGAAUCUGUGGCAAAAAUAACAUUUGCCACUAGUGGCAAAUAGUUCAGAGUUUUUUUCUGGCAAACAAUUCCCUCAAGAUUGUAUUUGAAUCUGGCAAACUUUUGGGAACAAUAUUUGUCACUAUUGGCAAACAGUUUUACAAAAGCCAUUUCAGGUGAACACGAGUUCCAAAAACAGUAACCGUUGACCACGAAUCAUUGGGAUUAGAAAAAUAUGUUGGAAAAUGUAAACCAAGCAAUCUAGCAAAGUUGUCCGGUAAGUGUUAACUUUCUAAUAAACUUUCAAAUGUUGUAAGCUAAUUGAUGCCUAGUUUUAUGUGAGAGUGAAACACAUUUUGCUGAUACCAGUUUCAAUCUUUCAGCGUCACUGACUGUCUAGCAUUUAGCUAGCUGGCUAGCAUUUAGCUUGCUAAGAUUAGCUAUCAUAUUUUUGCACAUUAAAUGUGCUAGCUGGCUAUGUAAUAAGUUGCCUAAACACUUGAAUACGUUGCUAUCAGGAAACAAGGUAAGACCCAAGUGCAGUCUGUAAAGUAACAAUGUUUAAUUUAACCACAGCAGCAGGCAAACGACCGGUCAAGGCAGGCAGGGGACGAUAAUCCAGAGUAGGAGCAAAGGUACAGGACGGCAGUGUUCAGUAAUCCAGAAGUGGAGCAAGGGUACAAGACGGCAGGUAUGCUCAGGGUCAUGGACGGGCAGAGAGGCCGGCCGGGCGGGUACAGGGUCGGGACUGGCAAGGGCAACAACAAAAAAACAGGAGGAUGAGAAGAAAAAAAAGAGGCUGGGAAAAGACAGGCACUGACAGGACGAACGCUGGUAAACUUGACGAACUGGCAACAGAGACAGAAAACACAGGGGAAGAUGGGCAACACCUGGAAGGGGGUGGAGACAAUCACAAGGACAGGUGAAACAGAUCAGGGCAUGACAGUUGCUGUCUUUAAUACCAAUAUGCAGGCCAAUAUGAUAGUGUAACUGUUCAGUAGCAUGUUGGCUAGCACAACACCUAAGGUAGCAACAAUAUGACAUCAAAGCAAAACUAAACUUUGGCAAAUGGAUACCCUUCUCCUACCUGUGGUGUCGGAAGAGGCUGUAUGGGGAGGAGGCAUUAUUAACACCCUGGAAAGAUGUUUGUGAUGCACUCACUCAUUUUUUUUGAGCGAUAAAUGAAUGUAUCGUCUUUAAGCUUGAUAAAAAGCAAUCCGUUACAAGCCAAAAAAUACAGAUUGAGGCCUUCAGUUAAACUGAGGACAGAAAUAUGUGUUACAGGUCAAAUCUUCUUGUGUGCAUGGCUUUGAGAUACUUAUACACCUGAGUCAGGAAGAAGAGAACCAGUAGAUGGCUGUUUCUUAAUGAUCCCCAGACUAUAUUCAAUAUCAUAAUUACAGCAGUUGAUUAGUUGGAAUCAAUUGUGUUGGGGCUUGGCUGGAGAAAAAUAUUGUAUUCUGUGACUCUCUAGGAACAGUUGGCCACACAUUUAAAGGUAGAUUUAGUAAGCCUAAGUCCCAGCUAUGCUAGCUACAUCAUUUGUUUAUAUAGCAUUUAUACAAACAGAAACAUUGUUUCCUUGCUGAAAAAUAUAUAGACUGCCAGUUUCAUUGAGCAGCAUAGCAACACCAAGUCAACUUUGUAACAGAUGACCACGUUUAUCCAAAGCCAAACCCGUACAUUAGCCACUGAGUACACCUUUUAACAUGCCAAAAUAGAUGAUUUUCAGUAUCCUAAUUUAUUUUGGUUUUAUGUUUUCUGAUUGUUUCAGUGCAUGAUUUCAACAAGCUUUAGACGAAGGAUUUCCACAGGGCCGCCAUCUCCAAAGUUUACUAAAAAAUGCAAUAGUUGUGUACUCGGUUUGUUUUGUUGUUUGAAUAAUUUUUUUAAACUCCCAUUGGUUGAAAGCUAAUGCUCAGUUAUCACUUGGCUCAUGUACAUUCUGUAGUUGCCCCUUUUAAACUCCCUAAGGUCAGCAUCCCCAUAGUGUUCACUUUUCUCAAAUGUAAAUCUUAUGGCUACAUAAAAAUAUUAAAUAAACAUUUUAUU